rnacentral:lncRNA from 1 species
AGUCUACUGCAAUAUGUGCUAGGGGAUUUCAAAUGGAUGAAUCCAAUAUAUCUUUUAAGAUAGAUAGUUCUCCCAAUCCUCAAAAUAUUACUGCUAGGUAGAGCAAUAUUUAUCAAAGGAAAAGAAAAUCUGCAAUAGGAAAAUGACUUUAUCAAUCCAACAUUGUUAUAUUUUAUAGACAAAUGCAAUCCAAUAAAAUAUUAGUAAUUAAAAUAAGAAUAUUAAUUUAGUAACUACAGUAACCAGUUUUGUGGUUCCUUGUCAGUAGUCUUAAGAUAUGGGUCCUAUAACCCUAUAUAUAUAUAUCUCAAAGCCAUGGGGCACUGGAAACAUGAGAAGGAAGCAUUAUGGCACAUUUAUCAUUUAUACUGCAUGCGAGGUUAAGACCCCUAGCUUUCUUAUGAUGGUUCCACUUGAGUGGUGUAGAAAUAAAUGUAUCUCAGUACUCCUUUGCCUUCACAGUUAUGCAUUAUACUGUAACAGAUUUUCCAGCAAAAGACACUUUUCACACAGGCAGAAAUGAAAUAUAUGGGCCGUAACAAUUCUGUGCCUCCUUUAUAGUAGGUUUCCUUAAUCUAUGCACAGUAUGCAGGUGAUAAUUUUGAUAAUAUCAAAACAAUCAUUUCAUAUGUUUUCAGAGGCUCUUGGUCACAUUAACAUUUGUAGAAACUCAAACCAACUUCACCAGAUAUAUCAAACAAAAGUCAGGGAGCAUUCAGUAUGAUUUCUAGAUUUAGGAAUUAUUAUAUACUAUUAGCAAUGAUUCAGAGACCUUAAAUGUGGUCAGAUAAAGCAUAUGAAACAAGCAAGCAUUUUUUUUUUUUAAACUGCUGCUAGAAAACAGUUUGAAUUGUUUCCAUCUUUGAUAUAUGGUGCUGAUUCCUCUGUUUUCCCCAAGGAGUGUUUUCCACAAAAGCCCCAGGAGUCAUGGGGAAUCCUUGCGCAGAAUGCAUGCGUCAGGUUGCUAAGGGGACUUUCCUCCUUCAUAUUCCCCUAAGAAGGGGAGUGCCCACACUAAAGCUUAUUAGGAUGUUCUCUAUACUAGGUGCAUGUUCAUUAAAUAUGUAAUCUCUUGAUAUAUACGUUAUACUUUCUAUUCGAUUCAUGGGAAAUAGAUGGGUAAAUGUCAUUUCUAAUGUCACCAUGGGAGUUAUAGGACUAAUUCCUCUUUAAUUAUCUGAAAUAUAUGCCUUAUUUAAAAGUAUUAAUGAGAUCAGAAAAAAUUAUAUACUUUCAUGUACGUCCGUGUGAAGAGACCACCAAACAGGCUUUGUGUGAGCAAUAAAGCUUUUAAUCACCUGGGUGCAGGCGAUAAGGGUGGGGCCGUUUUAUAGGAUUUGGGUAGAUAAAGGAAAAUUACAGUCAAAGGGGAUUUGUUCUCUGGCGGGCAGGAGUGGGGGUCGCUAGGUGCUCAGUGGGGGAGUUUUUGAGCCGGGAUGAGCCAGGAAAAGGACUUUCACAAGAUAAUGUCAUCACUUAAGACAAGGACCGGCCAUUUUCACUUCUUUUGUGGUGGAAUGUCAUCAGU